GAUGAACGCUAGCGAUAGGCUUAACACAUGCAAGUCGAGGGGCAGCAUGGUCUUAGCUUGCUAAGACUGAUGGCGACCGGCGCACGGGUGCGUAACGCGUAUGCAACUUGCCUCACAGAGGGGGAUAACCCGUCGAAAGACGGACUAAUACCGCGUACACUCUAUUUUGGGCAUCCAAGGUAGAGGAAAUGAAAUUCGCUGUGAGAUAGGCAUGCGUCCCAUUAGCUAGUUGGUGAGGUAACGGCUCACCAAGGCGACGAUGGGUAGGGGAACUGAGAGGUUGAACCCCCACACUGGUACUGCGACACGGACCAGACUCCUACGGGAGGCAGCAGUGAGGAAUAUUGGUCAAUGGGCGAGAGCCUGAACCAGCCAAGUCGCGUGAAGGAUGACUGUCUUAUGGAUUGUAAACUUCUUUUGUAGGGGAAUAAAGAGGGGCACGUGUGCCCCAGUGAAUGUACCCUACGAAUAAGCAUCGGCUAACUCCGUG
rnacentral:rRNA from 1 species